AAAAAACAUACAAAAAAAUUGUUAACUGAUAAAAUGUGCAAAAUUUUAUG
rnacentral:sRNA from 1 species